rnacentral:lncRNA from 1 species
UUUUUUCUUUUUAUGGGUGGUGAGAAGACCAGUUUCUGAUGCAACCAGUUUCUGAUGCACAUAUAUUUAUACACGUUCUAUCAACGUGGUAGUUAUCAGAAACCCUAAUUGACCAAACUUAUCCAUCAAGUAAUAUUUAUUUAAACCUUAUAAUUAAGAUAUUAGGGUUUUGUUUUUCUCUUCUUUUUUUUGAUAUUGCAGUAAAUCUUAAUUUGAUAUAGUGAAUAAAAAGAAUAGAAUUAUCCGAUUAAAAAUU